GAAACCUGAUUAAGUAAAAUGACUUUCCAAAACCAAGUUUAUGAACUAUUUGCGACUAAAUACAGAUGAGUAAAACUUACUAAAAAUAUUCCAAUUUUUCGUUGUUUUAAUCAAAAUUUAACCAAAUUAAAUUAACUAACUUAUUUAAUAUAAGUAUUUUACAUUAUUUUAUGCGCACCAUUUUUCUGAGUGUAUGGAAUAAAACUGUUUAAACUUUGCUCUACUGAGGGAUUUACCUGGUCAUUGAAAAUAUAUUCUGAAGAAUGAGCUACUGGGUAAAACCCACCCUGUCGGCACUCUUCGCGCAAACAAGAAAUAAUUGCCAAUAGAAGUGAUGAAUUCUGCGCUUAAAAAGGGAGAAUUGAUGGCCAAAGAAGAUGAAAAUGGGAAAUUGGCAAUUGAAUUGUUACUUGGCCUGUCAAUAGUAAAACCACAUUGUUUAUAAGGAAGCUACAAAGAAAAACAUCAACAUAUGCAAAUUCCGUCAACGUGGAGCAGAUGUUAGAUCCAAAAGGUCAUUAGAUUAGAUCCAAAAGGUCAUUACCACCUCAAUCAGUUAACCCCGGUAAAAUCGUUAUAACUAUAAGGGUAGAUGCCAAUAAUAAAGCAAUUCGACGUUCUUUUGUUUUUUGUUACGCAACUGCAAAAAAAAAGCUGAAUCGUAAAACGCUAGGAAAAAACUUUCAGCGUCAAAGGCGAACGUGGUACGGUGGCCUCCUGUAAUAUUAUAUAAAUUUAAAAAAAAAAUUUAAUACAUUCUUCACUUAAUAAAACCUCAAAAAUUCAUCAUGCAUGCUUUUGCAAAAA